rnacentral:rRNA from 1 species
AUCAACGCUGGCGGCGUGCCUAACACAUGCAAGUCGAACGCGAAAGCCCCGCAAGGGGUAAGUAGAGUGGCAAACGGGUGAGUAACACGUGGGUGACCUGCCUUCGAGUGGGGGAUAACGUCCCGAAAGGGACGCUAAUACCGCAUGACAUCCUGCUUUUGAAAAAGCGGAGAUCAAAGCUGGGGAUCGCAAGACCUAGCGCUUGAAGAGGGGCCCGCGCCUGAUUAGCUAGUUGGUGAGGUAACGGCUCACCAAGGCGACGAUCAGUAUCCGGCCUGAGAGGGCGGACGGACACACUGGGACUGAGACACGGCCCAGACUCCUACGGGAGGCAGCAGUGGGGAAUUGUUCGCAAUGGGCGCAAGCCUGACGACGCAACGCCGCGUGGAGGACGAAGAUCUUCGGGUCGUAAACUCCUGUCGAGCGGGACGAACGCUUCGCGGAUGAAUAAUCCGCGGAAUUGACGGUACCGCUAAAGGAAGCCCCGGCUAACUCCGUG